rnacentral:rRNA from 1 species
ACAGUGGACGCGAGCAUCUGUGGCCAAGUUUUUAAGGGCGCACGGUGGAUGCCUUGGCACCAGGAACCGAUGAAGGACGUGGGAGGCCACGAUAGGCCCCGGGGAGUCGUCAACCAGGCUUUGAUCCGGGGGUGUCCGAAUGGGGAAACCCGGCAGUCGUCAUGGGCUGUCACCCUUGCCUGAACACAUAGGGCAAGUGGAGGGAACGCGGGGAAGUGAAACAUCUCAGUACCCGCAGGAAGAGAAAACAACCGUGAUUCCGGGAGUAGUGGCGAGCGAAACCGGAUGAGGCCAAACCGUAUGCGUGUGAGACCCGGCAGGGGUUGCGCAUUCGGGGUUGUGGGAUCUCUCUUUCAUGGUCUGCCGGCCAUGAGACGAGUCAGAAACCGUUGAUGUAGGCGAAGGACAUGCGAAAGGUCCGGCGUAGAGGGUAAGACCCCCGUAGUCGAAACGUCAGCGGCUCGUUUGAGAGACACCCAAGUAGCACGGGGCCCGAGAAAUCCCGUGUGAAUCUGGCGGGACCACCCGCUAAGCCUAAAUAUUCCCUGGUGACCGAUAGCGGAUAGUACCGUGAGGGAAUGGUGAAAAGUACCGCGGGAGCGGAGUGAAAUAGUACCUGAAACCGUGUGCCUACAAGCCGUGGGAGCGUCGCGCAAGGACUUGUCCUUGCGUCGUGACUGCGUGCCUUUUGAAGAAUGAGCCUGCGAGUUUGCGGUGUGUUGCGAGGUUAACCCGGGUGGGGAAGCCGUAGCGAAAGCGAGUCCGAACAGGGCGUUUCAGUAGCACGCUCAAGACCCGAAGCGGAGUGAUCUAGCCAUGGGCAGGUUGAAGCGGAGGUAAGACUUCGUGGAGGACCGAACCCACCAGGGUUGAAAACCUGGGGGAUGACCUGUGGUUAGGGGUGAAAGGCCAAUCAAACUCCGUGAUAGCUGGUUCUCCCCGAAAUGCAUUUAGGUGCAGCGUCGUGUGUUUCUUGCCGGAGGUAGAGCACUGGAUAGGCGAUGGGCCCUACCGGGUUACUGACCUUAGCCAAACUCCGAAUGCCGGUAAGUGAGAGCGCGGCAGUGAGACUGUGGGGGAUAAGCUCCAUGGUCGAGAGGGAAACAGCCCAGAGCAUCGACUAAGGCCCCUAAGCGUACGCUAAGUGGGAAAGGAUGUGGAGUCGCACAGACAACCAGGAGGUUGGCUUAGAAGCAGCCACCCUUGAAAGAGUGCGUAAUAGCUCACUGGUCUAGUGAUUCCGCGCCGACAAUGUAGCGGGGCUCAAGCGUACCGCCGAAGUCGUGUCAUUGCAGCAGAUAGCCCCAACGGGUGCUGUGAUGGGUAGGGGAGCGUCGUCUGCCGGGUGAAGCAGCCGCGGAAGCGAGUUGUGGACGGUUGACGAGUGAGAAUGCAGGCAUGAGUAGCGAUUCACACGUGAGAAACGUGUGCGCCGAUUGACUAAGGGUUCCUGGGUCAAGCUGAUCUGCCCAGGGUAAGUCGGGACCUAAGGCGAGGCCGACAGGCGUAGUCGAUGGAUAACCGGUUGAUAUUCCGGUACCCGCUGUGAAGCGUCAAACAUCGAAUCCAGUGAUGCUAAGCCCGUGAAGCCGCCGGCUGAGUCUUCGGACGAGGUCGGAGUGGUGGAGCCGGUGACCCGAGCUGGUAGUAGGUGAGUGAUGGGGUGACGCAGGAAGGUAGUCCAUCCCGGGCGGUGGUUGUCCCGGGGUAAGGGUGUAGGACGUCAGGUAGGCAAAUCCGCCUGGCAUGUGUCUGAGACCUGAUGCCGAGCCGAUUGUGGUGAAGUGGAUGAUCCUAUGCUGUCGAGAAAAGCCUCUAGCGAGUUUCAUGGCGGCCCGUACCCUAAACCGACUCAGGUGGUCAGGUAGAGAAUACCGAGGCGUUCGGGUGAACUAUGGUUAAGGAACUCGGCAAAAUGCCCCCGUAACUUCGGGAGAAGGGGGGCCACAUCCGGUGAUGAGCUUCGCGCUCUGAGCUGGGGGUGGCCGCAGAGACCAGCGAGAAGCGACUGUUUACUAAAAACACAGGUCCGUGCGAAGCCGUAAGGCGAUGUAUACGGACUGACGCCUGCCCGGUGCUGGAACGUUAAGGGGACCGGUUAGCUCCAUUUCGGUGGGGCGAAGCUGAGAACUUAAGCGCCAGUAAACGGCGGUGGUAACUAUAACCAUCCUAAGGUAGCGAAAUUCCUUGUCGGGUAAGUUCCGACCUGCACGAAUGGCGUAACGACUUCUCGACUGUCUCAACCAUAGGCCCGGUGAAAUUGCACUACGAGUAAAGAUGCUCGUUUCGCGCAGCAGGACGGAAAGACCCCGGGACCUUUACUACAGUUUGAUAUUGGUGUUCGGUUCGGCUUGUGUAGGAUAGCUGGGAGACUGUGAACAUCGGACGCCAGUUCGGUGGGAGUCGUCGUUGAAAUACCAGUCUGGUCGUGCUGGAUGUCUAACCUGGGUCCGUGAUCCGGAUCAGGGACAGUGUCUGAUGGGUAGUUUAACUGGGGCGGUUGCCUCCUAAAGGGUAACGGAGGCGCCCAAAGGUUCCCUCAGCCUGGUUGGCAAUCAGGUGUUGAGUGUAAGUGCACAAGGGAGCUUGACUGUGAGACCGACGGGUCGAGCAGGGACGAAAGUCGGGACUAGUGAUCCGGCGGUGGCUUGUGGAAGCGCCGUCGCUCAACGGAUAAAAGGUACCCCGGGGAUAACAGGCUGAUCUUCCCCAAGAGUCCAUAUCGACGGGAUGGUUUGGCACCUCGAUGUCGGCUCGUCGCAUCCUGGGGCUGGAGUCGGUCCCAAGGGUUGGGCUGUUCGCCCAUUAAAGCGGUACGCGAGCUGGGUUUAGAACGUCGUGAGACAGUUCGGUCCCUAUCCGCUGUGCGCGUAGGAGUCUUGAGAAGGGCUGUCCCUAGUACGAGAGGACCGGGACGGACGAACCUCUGGUGUGCCAGUUGUCCUGCCAAGGGCAUGGCUGGUUGGCUACGUUCGGGAGGGAUAACCGCUGAAAGCAUCUAAGCGGGAAGCCUGCUUCGAGAUGAGGACUCCCACCUCCUAGAGAGGGUAAGGCUCCCAGUAGACGACUGGGUUGAUAGGCCGGAUAUGGAAGCACGGUAACGUGUGGAGUUGACCGGUACUAAUAGGCCGAGGGCUUGUCCUCAGUUG